GACGAACGCUGGCGGCGUGCUUAACACAUGCAAGUCGUACGGUAAGGCCCUUUCGGGGGUUCACGAGUGGCGAACGCGGGAGUAACACGUGAGUAACCCUCCCACAACUUUGGGAUAACGCUAGGAAACUGGGGCUAAUACUGGAUAUGUUCUCCUGCUGCAUGGUGGGGGUUGGAAAGCUCCGGCGGUUGUGGAUGGACUGGCGGCCUAUCAGCUUGUUGGUGGGGUAGUGGCCUACCAAGGCGGCGACGGGUAGCCGGCCUGAGAGGGUGACCGGCCACACUGAGUCUGAGGUGCGGCACAAGCUCGUAAGGGAGGCAGCUGUGCGGAAUAUUGCACCAUGGGCGCCAGCCUGAUGAAGAAGGGCCGCGUACGGGAUAACGGCCUUAGGGUUGAAAAACGCUUUCAGCAGGGACGAAGCUUUUUGUGACGGUACCUGCAGAAGAAGCACCGGCUAACUACGUG
rnacentral:rRNA from 1 species